GACCAUGCUGCUCUGACGAGCGGCCAUCUUCCUUAAUUCGCUGACUAAGCGUGGAGAAAUGAAAUGCGACAUCCUUUAGUGAUGGGUAACUGGAAACUGAACGGCAGCCGCCACAUGGUAAACGAACUGGUGGCUAACCUGCGUAAAGAACUGACGGGCGUAGCAGGCUGCGACGUGGCAAUCGCUCCGCCGGAAAUGUAUAUCGAUCUGGCGAAACGCGCUGCUGCCGGCAGCCACAUCAUGCUGGGCGCGCAGAACGUUGAUCUGAAUCUGUCUGGCGCAUUCACCGGUGAAACUUCGGCUGAAAUGCUGAAGGAUAUCGGCGCGCAGUACAUUAUUAUCGGCCACUCCGAGCGUCGUACUUAUCACAAAGAAUCUGACGAGCUGAUCGCCAAAAAAUUCGCCGUACUGAAA
rnacentral:misc_RNA from 1 species